AUUGAACGCUGGCGGCGUGCUUAACACAUGCAAGUCGAGCGGUAACAGGCGUAGCAAUACGUGCUGACGAGCGGCGAACGGGUGAGUAAUGCUUCGGAAUCUUCCUUGUAGUGGGGAAUAACCUGGGGAAACUCAGGCUAAUGCCGCAUACGAACCAUGGUUGAAAGCGGGGGAUCGCAAGACCUCGCGCUAUAAGAUGAGCCGAAGUCGGAUUAGCUAGUUGGUGGGGUAAAGGCCUACCAAGGCGACGAUCCGUAGCUGGUCUGAGAGGACGACCGGCCACACUGGGACUGAGACACGGCCCAGACUCCUACGGGAGGCAGCAGUGGGGAAUAUUGGACAAUGGGGGCAACCCUGAUCCAGCGACGCCGCGUGUGUGAAGAAGGCCUGCGGGUUGUAAAGCACUUUUAGUGGGGACAAAAAGCCGAGGGCUAAUACCUUUCGGUCUUGAUUUAACCCAAAGAAAAAGCACCGGCUAACUCUGUGCCAGCCGCCGCGGUAAAAC
rnacentral:rRNA from 1 species